GGAGGGAUCAUUACCGAGUUUACAACUCCCAAACCCCUGUGAACAUACCAUUUGUUGCCUCGGCGGUGCCUGCUUCGGCAGCCCGCCAGAGGACCCAAACCCUUGAUUUUAUACAGUAUCUUCUGAGUAAAUGAUUAAAUAAAUCAAAACUUUCAACAACGGAUCUCUUGGUUCUGGCAUCGAUGAAGAACGCAGCGAAAUGCGAUAAGUAAUGUGAAUUGCAGAAUUCAGUGAAUCAUCGAAUCUUUGAACGCACAUUGCGCCCGCCAGUAUUCUGGCGGGCAUGCCUGUUCGAGCGUCAUUUCAACCCUCAAGCCCCCGGGCUUGGUGUUGGAGAUCGGCGUGCCCUCCGGGGCGCGCCGGCUCCCAAAUAUAGUGGCGGUCUCGCUGUAGCUUCCUCUGCGUAGUAGCACACCUCGCACUGGGAAACAGCGUGGCCACGCCGUUAAACCCCCCACUUCUGAAAGGUUGACCUCGGAUCAGGUAGGAAUACCCGCUGAACUUAAGCAUAUCA
rnacentral:rRNA from 1 species